rnacentral:sRNA from 1 species
AUGGCUGUCGUCAGCUCGUGUCGUGAGAUGUUGGGUUAAGUCCCGCAACGAGCGCAACCCUUGCCAUUAAUUGCCAUCAUUUAGUUGGGCACUUUAAUGGGACUGCCGGUGACAAACCGGAGGAAGGUGGGGAUGACGUCAAGUCCUCAUGGCCCUUAUGGCCAGGGCUUCACACGUAAUACAAUGGUCGGUACAGAGGGAAGCCAACCCGCGAGGGGGAGCCAAUCUCAGAAAGCCGGUCGUAGUCCGGAUUGUUGUCUGCAACUCGACAGCAUGAAGUCGGAAUCGCUAGUAAUCGUAGAUCAGCGUGCUACGGUGAAUGCGUUCCCGGGUCUUGUACACACCGCCCGUCACACCAUGGGAGUUGGUUCUACCUUAAGGCAAGGUUUUAAACCCUUGACCACGGUAUAGUCAGCGACUGGGGUGAAGUCGUAACAAGGUAGCCGUAGGGGAACCUGCGGCUGGAUUACCUCCUUUCUAAGGAUGAAUGAAAGUAAAAUUUCAUUCUAAAUAAUAUACAUCGGUAAUGUUGACCGUCCUCAUUUCUCUUCUUAAAAUAAUGUUUCCUUCUUGUAGGGCCGGUAGCUCAGUUGGUUAGAGCACACCCUUGAUAAGGGUGGGGUCGAAAGUUCGAGUCUUUCUCGGCCCACCAUACUUAACUGGGGGAUUAGCUCAGCUGGGAGAGCGCCUGAUUUGCAUUCAGGAGGUCAGCGGUUCGAUCCCGCUAUCCUCCACCAGGAAACAUUUAGUUAUAAAAAUUGUGAAUAAAAAUAAUAAUUAAUAUCAAUAUCUAUAUCCGAACAUUAGCAAUGUUAUUAGCUAAUGUUCAAAAUAAAAAUUUGAUUCAACACAGAAUUUUUUUCUGUGCAUAAAUCAAGCGUUUAAGGGCGUGUGGCGGAUGCCUUGGCACUGAAAGCCGAUGAAGGACGUGAUAUACUGCGAUAAGUUUCGGGGAGCUGUAUGUAAGUUUUGAUCCGAAAAUUUCCGAAUGGGGAAACCCGG